CGCUCCGACAGGUCACGGGGAAAGGGAGGAGUCAGGCCAUGGAUUGUCCAGAAAAGCCAGAUCAUUAAGGACCAGAGGUAAGGAAUUUAUCUGGCAGCUGACCAGGCCUUGUCAACACAGGGCCUCGGGCAGCGCUUGUGUAACUGCCCUGAAUUAGUUCUUCCCAGCCAGGGCGUGCCCAGCAUGGACCUGGGUCCAGGGGAGGUAAAGGACCUCUAUUGCAUGUCUGUGUGGGCCUGUGCUGCUGCCCCGGGGCCCUUGCUGGCCACUGCUUGUUGCUGUAUGCAGAGCAGAAAAUUCCUUGAAGCAUUUCUCCAUGCACCCUCCACUCGCAAGGUUCCUUCAGCUAUAAAUAACAGCAGGACAUGCUGAAUAAGGGUUGCAGAAGGUUUGGCGAUGAGACCGUGGCUGCAGCCUCUGCAGGCAGCAUUUCCUUAUCUACAGAGUGGGGUGAGCCCAGGCCUGGCUGCCCGGGGUGUUGGGGGAGCCACUUCUCUGGGUCCUCGUCCAGUACCUUCUCCACACUGAGCCCAAGGAUCAAUCAGGUCACGCCCUGAUCAGAACCCUUCAAUGCCCCCAGUUUUCAUGAAAUAAAAGUCAACUACCUCGCCAUGGCCCCAGGAGCCCUCGCCUUCCUGUCCCCUCCUCCUUCCUCCCUUGGGUGCCCCCCACUCUGUCCCCUGGCCGUGUCCUGCUUGGCAGAUGUCCCACCUCUUGCUGUCUGGAGGUCUCUGUACUUCACAAUCCUUUGUGGGAUCCAUCUCCUCCCCUACUUAUCUUUUUUUUUUUUCCUUGAUGAGGUGAAAUUCACAUGACAUGCACUUAACCUUUUUUUCUUUUUUAUUUUUGAGACAGAGUCUCAAUCUGUCACCCAGGCUGAAGUGCAGUGGUACAAUCAUGGCUCACUCCAGCCUCAAACUCCUGGGCCCAGCAAUCAUCCCCCCUCAGUCUGUGAAGUAACUGGGACUAUAGGCACAGGCCACCACGCACGACUAAUAUUUUAUUUUUUGUAGAGAUGGGGUCUCCCUAUGUUGCCCAGGCUGGUCUCGAACUCCUGGGCUCAAGCGAUCCUCCCACUUCGGCCUCCUAAAGUGCUGGGAUUACAGGCAUGAGCCAUUGCACCUGGCCACUUACCCAUUUUAAAGUGUACAAAUGCAUUGGUAUUAAAUGUAUUCACAAUAUUGUGCAAACACCAGGUCUCUCCAGCUUCCAAACUUUCUCAUCACCCUGUAAAAAACAUCUUGUAUCCAGCAAGCAGUCACUCCCCAUUCCUCCCUCCCCAUGCCCUGGUAACCUCUAAUCUGCUUUCUAUCCCUAUAGAUUUGCUUCUUCUGAAUAUAUCAUGUAAAAAGAAUCAUACCAUAGGUGACCUUCCCUGCCUGGCAUCUUUCAUUUGCAUAAUGCUUCUAAGGACCAUCUAUGUUAUAGCAUGUACCAGCACUUCAUUCCUUUCUACAGCUGAAUCAUAUCCCACAGUAUGUGCAUACCACGGUUUGCAGUUUGUUUAUCCAUUCAUACAUUGGAUUGUUUGCACUUUUUGGCUUUAUUUUAUUAUUUUUAGAGACGAGGUCUCACUCUGUCAUCCAGGCUGGAGUGCAGUGGCACCACCAUGGUUCGUUGCAGCCUCAACCUCCUUGAGCUCAAAGGAUCCUCCUGCCUCAGCCACACAAGUAGCUGGGACGACCGGUAUGCACUACCACGCCUGGCUGAUUUUUAAAUUUUUGUAGGGAUGGGGUCCCACUAUGUUGCCCAGGCUGUUCUCAAACUCCUGGCUUCAAGCAAUCCUCCCGCCUCAGCCUCCCAAAGUGCUGGGAUUACAACUGUGAGCCACUGUGCCCAGGUCCAUGUUGAGCUUUUUGAGGAAGUGCCAGACUGUGGUUGGGAUCAUUCUUUCCUCUAGAUACCCAAAGCUGGUACCUCCUUGUCAUUCAGGGCUCAGCUCCCAUAUCACCUCCCCAGACCACCCCAGCUCAAACAGUGCUCCUCUCCCAAGUCACUCUCUUGUCUGCUGCCAUCUUUUCACCAUCUGGAGUUUAUUACCCAGUAGGAUGUAGGUGAUCUCGGACCUCUUAGUCUCCACUGUGACCCACAACCUAGCACAGUUUCUGGUAGACGGAGGUUCUCAAUAAAUGCUUACUGAAUGACUGAUCUCAGGUAGUCAAAGGUAAAGAGCUGUAAUAAUGUGAGGCACUGUCACUGUCACCUUAGGUCGCUGUUAGGACCUCCCCCUGGGUGACUCAUCUGUUUGUUUGUUUAUUUAUUUAUUUAUUUAUUUAUUUAUUUAUUUAUUUAUUUUAGAUGGAGUCUCACUCUGUCGUCCAGGCUGGAGUUCAGAGGCACAAUCUCGGCUCACUGCCACCUCUGCCUCCCGGGUUCAAGUGAUUCUCCUGCCUCAGCCUCCCCACCACACCUGGCUAAUUUUUGUGUUUUUAGUAGAGAUGAGUUUUCACCAUGUUGGCCAGGCUGGUCUCCAACUCCUGACCUCAAGUGGUCCGCCUGCCUCGGCCUCCCAAAGUGCUGGGAUUACAGGCAUGAGCCACCACGCCCAGCCAACUCACCUGUUUAAAUGGUCAACUUCCUCCUCUCUGAGGAAAGAAUAAAAACCAGGAAAGAGAAACCAUUGGCGAUGCUUCUUUCUCAGCCCUUUCCUGUUAGUGACUCAGCACAGGUAUCUCCUUCACUAUCCCCAGCUCCUGAGGUGCAACAAGCAGCCCUUAGUGACAACUGCAAAGGAAAAAAAAAAAAAAAAGGCAAAGGUGGAAAAUAAUUUGGGUGGAGAUUAGAUAAGCCUAUAAACCUGUCCCCAGUCUAGGGAAAAGGUUCAGGGCUCUGGUCAGGGUUCGGGCUGCCUGUGUUCAGUUCCCAGUGCUGUGCCACUUAAUUUUUGCAGGUUACUUAACCUCAUUUUUCUUUUUUGAAAAAACUGC
rnacentral:lncRNA from 10 species